AGCAGCGAAAAGGAUAGUGAUCUGUUUCUGCCAGCUCAUGCUAUCCCGUUCAUUUCGUUGUAAUUACCUAAUUCUUAAGCACGGCACCAGCUUAACCACGUAUAGCACUUCUUGGCCAUCGAUCUUUCCGCCUAGUUAAUCGUGUGCGUCCAUUCUACACUAACCCCCCUAUAUAAGAACAGUUGGCGCCUUCUGUGUUUCUUGUUCCGUAUUCUGCUCAUUUCUUCGAUCCAGAUCUCUCUUCAUGGCUUCUCUUCGAGGUUCAUGGCUUCUUCUGCCCCUCAGAUCGCUUUUUGACCUACGUGCUGAUGGUAAUUUCACGAGGCGAUUCGAAUUCCAUCGUGCUCCUAUGGAUUGACAAGUAGCAGGUUGUGUGGUGUUUGUCGAAGAACACUGUUGACCGUGGGAUCCUUUCUGCCAGCAGUAUAUCUUCUCAUAGCGGGUGUCGAUUUCUUUGUUUGGGAUUAAUUUCGACCCCUGUGGAUGAUUUUUGCCGGGUGUAGCAUGCGGUAUGGUGCGAUUUUACGACUCUAAGAGAAUGUAAUCGGCUGAUUGAUGUGGAAGGAUGGAGAUGGGUUGUGUGAUAUGUGGGAUGUAUAAGAUAUAUCAGGACGGAAGCCCCAAUGUUGUUUAUUUUAUGGGGCUGCAAGUCCUUGGUUGAUAUCUUUGUCAUCCGACCUUUGCCAUGACAGGUGCGCUUGCAUGGCAGGUCCCCGAAAUUCUUAAUAAAAUUAUUGUUUUUGUGUUCUGAGGGGAGAUCGCACGGGGAUUGCCCGGGUUCUCCCCUCUCUCGUGUGUUGCUUCUCCUGCUUUCUUAUUUUUACUCGCCUUCAAUAAUCCAAUCCGUAACUGAUACCAGAGCUUUCUCGAGGCGCAUCAACAACUCUUUCAAGGUAAUCUCCAACUGAUUGACGUUCUAAUUUAUCUCAAUUAGUUUAAUACAAGGCCUUCCUGGAUUGAAUCUCUCAAAUUUACAUUUGCAUGUGCAUGCUAGCUAGCCAUAUGGGGCAAUGGUUGUCCUUGCUUAGCUUCAUUAUUGAGAUUAGAACUAAAGCUAUGUUGGAUGUUUGAAAUUGGCAGUUUUCACGUAGGAGUUCAUGGAAAUCGAGUUACCAAUUUGCAAGGUAAAAGAAAUUGCAUAUAAUUCAAGAAUAAUUCCUGAUUCCGCAAAUUAACAAAUACAAAUGAUUCUUGAAUUCUUCUGAUUGUGCAAAUGAAUAAAUAGAAAUUAUAUAUUGAUCCUGGAAGUUAAUGAUGUGUGCUGUUGUUAUUAUCUUUUAACUUUCCUGCGGGGCAAUGCAAACUAUCCAAGUGUCCUCAGCUUGCAAUUCUUUGAACUAUAUCUUUGAUGUCUUGAGUAUAAAAUUAUUUUUAGCCGGCAAUAAUCAAGAUUUAUCCUUCGAUGGUCUUGCUGAUUCAGGUAGUGAUAUGUUCCUUUAAAUUGGAUUUAUAUCUGUUGGAGGGAUUUUUUAUUUUAUACAUUUGGCAUGAUUUAUUUCUGAUGAAAAAAUUCUAAUGAAAUCCUACAUAGUUUUAUUUUAUUUAAAAAUAAAAAUUUUGUAAAAUAAAAAAAUGAUUUUUUUAUUUUAAAUAAAAAAUUAUAAAAAAAUAAAUUGAAUAUGAUUUUUUUUAUUUUAAAUAAAAAAAUUAUAUAAAAAAAAUAAAUUUAAUUAAAUUUUUGUGGAAAUUAUUAUUGUACCAUUGCAGCAGCAGUGCUAUUUAGAGUAGAACAUGGAAUGAAGGUGCUGUGCGUUGUACCGUUUCUCUUUAUUGUAUUUUACGUUAUCGAUGGUGUUGGGAACUAGUUUUACGAUUGGAAAUUAUUCUGUUAAUAACAUAUUUAGCAAAUGUAUUGAUACUUUGUAAUGAGAAAAGGAACAUCGUUAUGUAUUGCAAACGUGGUGGGUCUCUGGUUUUUGGCAUUUGGAGUGCUGCUUCAGAGGCGGUUUGCUUGAUCCCGAGGAAGUUGCUGGUUGGCUUCACAAUGAUUUGCUUCGAGGAUCAGUGGAGGACUCCAGCUCAACCACAAGCCUUUGAGGUGAUGAAUCAAAGUUAAUAUGUAUAAUCUGAUGUUUGUCUUUUGAUGUGGUCGAACCCUCGCGGCAUUUUAAAAUCUUGAUUUCCCUUGGAUGGUUAAUUAUCAUGCUAAAAUGCCUCAUCUGUAGCUUUUAUACUUGCCAUAAAAGGGUUGAGUUGAAUAUGAUGAUAUUUAAUAUAA